UGGCCUGUAGCUUAAUUGGUAAAGCCCUGGACUGUUAAUCCGGUGGUUGUAGGUUCGACUCCUGCCAGGUCAG
rnacentral:tRNA from 1 species